rnacentral:lncRNA from 1 species
AUGUGGGGCCGCAUCCUCGCUGACAGGAGCCCCGGCCUCCUCAGGACCCGCGGACCCGCUGUAUAUGACUCAGGAAGACAUGGGGCCACGUCCACCAUGACAGGAGUCCGGCUUCCUCAGGACCCGCUGGAGGAUCCUGGAGGCGCUGUUCAGAGUCACAUCCACCUCAGCAGGGGCUACUCAGAACGACAAGGUGCACCAAGCAGGGUCUCCGCAGGACCUGUCACUGUGCAAGGUCACCGACCACCAGGGCUUUCUGCAGUGAGUCCCCUGGACACCCCUCAUCCAUCUCAUGGGGGGUGGCGUUUGCAGGAACACCUCUCUGGAGGCUGACCCCCCCCCCAGGUCGGGACCUCAUCCCCUGGAACCCUCUGAGGGCCAUGUCUGUGCUGGGCUGCAGCUGAGACACCCCGGAGGCCGACCCGGGGCGUGGGCAGGAAGGGAGCUGGGCCCGGGGGAGGCCCCCGGACACUCAGAGGAGGGGCCCCCAUGCCUGCUUCGGGCAGGCCCAGGUGUCUGCCUCCUGCAUCCGGGGGGGCUGUCCAGUCCCUUCAGCAGGGGCUCCUGCGGGUGAGGGGCUCUGGGGCUAGGGCGUGCUGUCUGUUGGGGGACGGCCUGGUCUGGGGCGAGUCCACAGGGGUGCUCUCACCCACACCCCCAGCCAGGGCCCCCACAGUCCCGAAGGCUUCUGCGGGGCUGUAGGUAGAUGCCUGGGACCAGGCCAGGGCAGGGAGGGGGGAGUCCGCAGAGGGAGGGCCCGGCCAGGCAGGAGGAGGGAAGAGGAGGAGGGGGCUGCCCUGGGCGGGAACGAGGCGGGGACAGCCCAGUGGCCGAGGUCGCAGGGGACGAGGCUGAUGGGUCAACAGCCCCACGAGAACCUGACAGAGGCUGGAGACCCCAGGUGGGGCCCCCUCAGCCCUGCUCAUGGCCCAGUGGCUGCUGGGAUGGCUGAGGGGUGGUCGUGCUCUGGAGCUCCGACAGGACAGGAGGUGAAAUGGGCCAGAGGCAGAGGGGACAGCAGAGAGGGGAGUCAGGGGACAGCAGGGGGAUGGCCAGGGGGCAGGGCGAGGCCGGCUGGACGCUGGGCAGUCAGGCCCUGGGAGGCGGGGGGACCUCAGCGGGACGGUCACUGGGCACCCGGGCCACGCGGACAGCUCUUGGCUGGUCCAUCGAGGAGGGG